CCUGACACGCCAAGCCGACAGUCGGUCGUCGAACAGUUUGGGGCCAUCGGUGAGCGUCUGUCGGCCUAGUUUUUGCGGUGUGUCCUGCACCGUCGGCUCUACUCUGCCUCCGUUG